ACUACGGGAGGCUGCAGUGGGGAAUAUUGCACAAUGGGGGAAACCCUGAUGCAGCGACGCCGCGUGAGUGAAGAAGUACUUCGUUAUGUAAAGCUCUAUUUGCAGGGAAGAAAAUGACGGUACCUGAGUAAGAAGCUCCGUCUAACUACGUGCCAGCAGCCGCGGUAAUACGGAGGGGGCAAGCGUUAUCCGGAUUUACUGGGUGUAAAGGGAGCGUAGACGGCAGUGCAAGUCUGGAGUGAAAGGCGGGGGCUCAACCCCCGGACUGCUCUGGAAACUGUACGGCUGGAGUGCAGGAGAGGUAAGUGGAAUUCGUGGUGUAGCGGUGAAAUGCGUAGAUAUUAGGAGGAACACCGGUGGCGAAGGCGGCUUACUGGACUGUAACUGACGUUGAGGCUCGAAAGCGUGGGGAGCAAACAGGAUUAGAUACCCGAGUAGUC
rnacentral:rRNA from 1 species